AUUUCCAGAAUUGAGUAGAGAUAGGCUUCAUCUUCAUCUCCUUCCUCCUACUUCAUGUCAAAAAUUCAAAUCCACCUACAAGCUUCGUUUCUCGUCCGAUUCGCGUGAUUCUUGCGGCAACGGAACGAGAGAGAGAUUCUCUACUGAUCUAACUCAUCAAUUUAAGCUUGUAGAUUCUUCGUUUGAUAUCGGAAUUGGGCGAUUUUUGCGGCGUUGGAACGAGGGAAGAAUUUCCUACUGAUCUAGACUAACAUCUGAAGACUUGACGAGGCGACUACCAAUGGAACCCGGAACUUACAAAACGCGACAUCGCUAAACUAUUAUCGAAGGUUAUGGAUAGCAAGCGUGUGUUUUUCAGGUGCCUAGAUUCUAGACGUGGCUAGAAGUCCGUCUUUGACCAGAGGUUCCUUUGGGCUAUGUUCAGUCCCGACUUUCGUAGUUGCUGCAGUAGUGUGAUUCUGACCGGUGUCGUGGCCUAGCAUAUUAACAUGUUUUCAUGAUGUCUAUAGUUGUUGUCAUUAAAUAUACGCUUUGUUGGCUACGAUUAUUGUAUUUGUUCCACGGAGGUAGAUACCCGUGAAGUGACUUUGACACUAGUAGUUUAUGCCGGGCUAGUACGUACCUGAUACGGAAACGAUAAGCCCGAGCAAGUUGUAAGACUUUACUAGUGUAUAUAAAUGUAUCUUUGUUUUGUUAAAUGCUUCCGUUUGUAAGGUCAAGGUUUAUAUGAUAAUUGCGAAAAAGUUUUAGUAAAUUUCAGGCUUGUUACGGGUUUCGGAACUACAAUUCCCAUUCCCUAGCGCCGGUCGCGGCUCGAGAAAUCGGGUCGUGACAUUUUCGUCCUCAUGGAAUUUAGCGAGCGCCGCCACAAAGAUUAGGGGAUUUACUGAUUGUUUUUAAAUAUAAAUGGGGUUUGUUGUAAGGCACCCCAAAAAUUAGGGGCCGUGGCAGAUUAUUAGCCUAUUUGAAAAGGUGGUGUUAUUGUAGGUAAAUUGUGUACAAAAUACGGGCAAUCAAGUAGUUUGGCGAAAAACAAAGCAACAUAUCGAAUUUUUUGGGGCUACUCGAGUUUAUUUCUACCUAGAGCUAAAAUAUUUUGGGGUUAACUGCUGGUUAAUUUCGGAUCAUUAUUCAAACAUUUUUCUAUAAAUUUGUUGAUAUGUAGAGUAAAAUUUUACUUUAAAUUUGUACAUAAUUUGUUUGUUGCCAUUAGAAAUUUUGACGCUCAAUUUUGAGAUAUUUUAAUUUUUUUAAUUAAUAAAAACUAACCAAACUAUAAAAAUAUGAUAAUACAAAAUAAAAAAAUUGUACAGUUUUCCCUUUUCAGAAAAUAAAAAAUGCAUGGACUAAAUCUCUACAUAUAAAAGUAUAAGGAUCUAAAGUCAAAUAAAUAAAAAUAGAGGGACUUUAGAAUGAGUUAUGCCACGAACACAAGAGAAAUCAAAACGACAUGGUGUACAACAGCCGAGUCAUAUACAUAUAAAUUCCUUUUCGAUUCAAAAAGAAGAGCUUUCAGUUCCUGCUCUGGCGCCAUAACCAGGUUAGCUCUUUUCAAUUCUUAGGGAUCCACUUUAUUUUAUAGUUAUGAAAAUCUAUUAUAACCACAACAUUAUUUGUCAGUUCAUCUUGUAAUAAUCUAAUAAUUUUUGAUGAUUGAUGGGAGCGUUUGUGGGAGAAAUUGAAUCCACGACAUCAAGGGCGGACCUAGGAAGAGCAUAUGGUGGUCAACUGCUCAUCUUAUAAUUUUGAGUCCUUUAAAAAACGUUAACAUGGAAUUGAAAAAUAUAAUUUUUUCACCUUAAAUUAUAUAGUUUGUCCACCUUAAAAUAUAUUUGUUGUCAAUUUUACUCAUCUUAUAAAAUUUCAAUAUAAUUUUGACCACCUUAUAAAAUAUUUUUGGGUCGGCCACUGCACGACAUAACAGUUUGCUGCACAACGCUUAUACCAUUUCUAUAGCUCAUUGGUAUUUAUGUUAUUCUUACUGGUGCUUGUUACGACCAUCUUUUAUUCUUGACCUUAAUUACACUGCAGCAUAAAUGUUUCAUAAUUCCAGACCUUAAUUUCUUCUGUUGCUAACUUCCAUUAUUGCUUCCGAAAAUAUAUGGUUCAUGUUUAUGCAGCCGAGAAAUGCUAUGCGACACGAAGUGGUAUAGCCUCGAAUGGCACGAAUUCCAUAUAUUGUUAUAUAUAGAGAGAAUAUAAUACAGAUCAUAAUACUUUUAAACAUUGUGAUUACAUAGAAAUGUUGAUCAUAGUCUUAAUCUUGAAGGGGCUUCAAGGUUAUAGGCAACCCACUCCUCAGUCUGGGCACAUGCGUAGUCUUUUCAAGGCUUGGGUCUCUAUCUACAAUUGUCCACCUUUCAUGAAAUAAUACAAUUAAUUUAUUAAUAAAUAAUUAAACUCUGCACGGCUCAGACAAAACAUACGCAUACUAUUUGAUUUGAUUUGAUCGGUUUAAUUGAUAAUUUUUAUGUGCAUUAUGAAUGAAGUAUAAUAUAGCAAGAGGAUACUUACUGGUAUUGGCUGGUGAGCCUGUAUAAAAACACCAACAUAGACAAUCUUGCCAUUUCUAUUCCUAAGCAAGUCCUCGGUCCAGCUCCAAAAGGUAUGAAACUGUAUGGUUUUUGUAGUUCCUGGAUCCAAAAUUAACAACUCUUAAUUUAAUUAUCUCAUUAUAUAUAAAGAAGAAAAGUGAACUAAUAAACAAGAAACAUUACAUCAAAUCUUGAAGGGUUGAACUGCAAAGGAUCCUUGUACAAUGUUGGAUCAAAAUGAAUGUAAGUUGCAUCCACAUUUACAUUCCAUCCUUUCUUUAUCUCAUAAACUGAACACAUUUAUUAUGUCAAUAAUUGAAAUUGAACUAAAGUUUAUGUCAAAAUUAAAAGUUUUGAUUAAAUUUAUUAAAAGUUGAGAAGAUUUGAACUUUUAUAUCCUCUCGAAGAAAGUAAAUAGUACCGUCGAGUGUGCAAUCAUUUUGUGCAACUCGGGGAAACCACAGCACAACAUUUGACAUUCUCAAUGAUUCUUUGACAACCUGCACAGUUAUUGUUUUUUUUUUGUGUGUGUUCUUCAAAAUGUCAACAACGCAUAUUACGUUUUCUGAUGAAACAUCGAUCAAUUAACUUAAAACUCAUGGUCUAACCUUGUAACAAUAGGACAUCUUGUUUAAAUCUUCUAUAGAAACUGUAUUUCCUUGCAAAAUUUGAGUAAUCUCCAACUGUUCCUCCUGUAAAUUCAUAAAAAAUGUCAGGCUUAUAAUCAUUUAAAGACUUUUUUUUAUAUAUUUGUUGAUCUGUACAAAUAAAUCAUACUCUAAGCUUGUGAAGGACUUGUUUGUUGUCAUCCAGGAAUUUGACACUCCACAUCAUGGACGCUGCAGAGCUAACUUGUCCUGAAACGAGUAAUGUUAACAGAUUAUCCAUAAUCUCCGAGUCAUCAAGCUUUUCAUUUGAUGAGUUUGAAUCUUUUUCUAACAGACUCUGCAGGAAGUCAUCUUUAUACUCUUCCCCGUUCCGCCGUCUAGCAAUCAUCUUUUCAAAUAUUUUCAUUAGCCUUUCCCUUGCCUGUCACCAUUUUUUUGAUCAACUAUUUAUAUAAUGUUUCUGUCACAGGAAAGGUAAAUACUGAAACGAAAAAAGUUGAGGCAGAAAAUGCAAAAUAACAUUUGUUUACAAGGAUUGUUAUAAAUAAUAUACGGUUUUGUAGUUUUAGAAGCGCUCCCAAAAAUAUAGGACUGGAUAAGUUCUCGAACAAAUUGACAGUAAUUCGAACAGACUCUGAGCAUUUACAAGAUAGGACUAAUUUGAAAAAAUAUAAGAGGUAUAAUGUUUAGUUUACUUACUUUCAUGCCUUUGUAGUAGGUAGAGCCAGGAAUCAUGAGAGGAACAGAUAACAAGGCAUCAGAAACCGCAGCACAGUCUCUGAGUAUCUGCUGCAAUAAGGAUUCUUCUGUAAUGCUCAUCAGCAUAUCACACAUUGAAUCUAAAGUGAGCUGCUUAAAGAGAUCAUGAAGCAUUAAUUAGUUUCUGAAUAGAGUCAUAACUUCUAUGCUAGAGAUUACAACUUUGCAGGAGAUACAAUCACUUGAUUCAACAACAAUUAACAGGAAAUUUAGAAUAGAACAUGAGUUACCUUCAUGGUGAAGUCAAGAACAGCAAAGGUUUUUCCACUUUCUUGUAAAUUCUUCAGUCUGAGACAGAGCAUGUGAUCAAAUUUUUGGACAAAUUUGGAUAAACAAGGCAUGGAGAAAAGCGCAGACAGAACGUGUCUAAUCCUUUUAUGACUCUCAAGAGCUUCUGUAGUCGGAACAAAUACAUGGAUCUUCCCGAACAUUCUUGUCUUGAACCAUUUUCCAUACCUGUUUGAUAAAGAUUCAAGUAAUCAAGUUAGUAGCAGAAAGAAAAGAAAAGGUUUCACCAACAAAAGGUAAGCCAAGGCCACCAGGAAUGUUGUCUUGUGAACUCAUCUUUUUUCUCCAAGCUUUUCUCAAGACUGCAAAUACCGCUAUUGUUAAGAAUGCAACCAUCAUAAUA